UCAGGAUGAACGCUAGCGGCAGGCUUAACACAUGCAAGCCGAGGGGCAGCGGGAUGUAGCAAUACAUUGCCGGCGACCGGCGGAUGGGUGCGUAACGCGUAUGCAACCUACCUUAUACAGGGGAAUAACCUUUCGAAAGGGAGACUAACACCCCAUAGUAUUGAUUUAAGGCAUCUUAGAUUAAUUAAAUAUUUAUAGGUAUAAGAUGGGCAUGCGUAUGAUUAGCUAGUUGGUAAGGUAACGGCUUACCAAGGCGACGAUCAUUAGGGGUUCUGAGAGGAAGGUCCCCCCACACUGGUACUGAGACACGGACCAGACUCCUACGGGAGGCAGCAGUGAGGAAUAUUGGUCAAUGGGCGCAAGCCUGAACCAGCCAUGCCGCGUGCAGGAAAGACGGCCUUAUGGGUUGUAAACUGCUUUACAUAAGACUAACCGUAUAUUUGCGAAUAUACCUGAAUGUAUUAUGAGAAUAAGGAUCGGCUAACUCCGUGCCAGCAGCUGC
rnacentral:rRNA from 1 species